AACGAACGCUGGCGGCAUGCCUAACACAUGCAAGUCGAACGAGACCUUCGGGUCUAGUGGCGCACGGGUGCGUAACGCGUGGGAACCUGCCCUUAGGUUCGGAAUAACUCCCCGAAAGGGGUGCUAAUACCGGAUAAUGUCUUCGAACCAAAGAUUUAUCGCCUUUGGAUGGGCCCGCGUUGGAUUAGCUAGUUGGUAGGGUAAAAGCCUACCAAGGCGACGAUCCAUAGCUGGUCUGAGAGGAUGAUCAGCCACACUGGGACUGAGACACGGCCCAGACUCCUACGGGAGGCAGCAGUGGGGAAUAUUGGACAGUGGGCGAAAGCCUGAUCCAGCAAUGCCGCGUGAGUGAUGAAGGCCUUAGGGUUGUAAAGCUCUUUUACCCGGGAUGAUAAUGACAGUACCGGGAGAAUAAGCGCCGGCUAACUCCGUG
rnacentral:rRNA from 1 species